rnacentral:lncRNA from 1 species
AGGGGCCACAUCACUCAUCCAACAAGUUUGCAUAAUUUGCGUAUGCGAAAUCUGAUAUAAAGCUACUUGAUACUAUUCAAACCAAUUUAAGAAACUUUUAUAUUACAAAUUCAACUUUUAUCUUAAUAUUUGCCUAUUGUCUCAAUUAAUGUAUCAAAUUCUCAUAUACUACACAAAACAAUUUUUUAACAUACACAUUAUCUAUAAACAAUUAAAUAUAUCUCAAUACAUUAAUAUAAUCAUCCAUUACAUUAUCAAUCCAAUCAUACUUUGUUGGAGAUCCCACAUCUACUAGAGAUG